rnacentral:rRNA from 1 species
CCUACGGGAGGCAGCAGUAGGGAAUCUUCCGCAAUGGACGCAAGUCUGACGGAGCAACGCCGCGUGUGUGAAGAAGGUCUUCGGAUCGUAAAGCACUGUUAUUAGAGAAGAACAACCGGUAGAGUAACUGUUACCGGCUUGACGGUAUCUAACCAGAAAGCCACGGCUAACUACGUGCCAGCAGCCGCGGUAAUACGUAGG